CUGGAUAGUCUACUAACUGCCGGAAUUAUUAAUGAACAAGAACAUGAUGUUAUUAAACAGAAGACACAGACGUCUUUACAAGCAAGAGAACUGAUUGAUACGAUUUUAGUAAAAGGAAAUAUUGCAGCCACUGUAUUCAGAAACUCUCUGCAAGAAGCUGAAGCUGUGUUAUAUGAGCAUUUAUUUGUGCAACAGGACAUAAAAUAUAUUCCCACAGAAGAUGUUUCAGAUCUACCAGUGGAAGAACAAUUGCGGAGACUACAAGAAGAAAGAACAUGUAAAGUGUGUAUGGACAAAGAAGUGUCCAUAGUGUUUAUUCCUUGUGGUCAUCUAGUAGUAUGCAAAGAUUGUGCUCCUUCUUUAAGAAAGUGUCCUAUUUGUAGGAGUACAAUCAAGGGUACAGUUCGUACAUUUCUUUCAUGAAGAAGAACCAAAACAUCGUCUAAACUUUAGAAUUAAUUUAUUAAAUGUAUUAUAACUUUAACUUUUAUCCUAAUUUGGUUUCCUUAAAAUUUUUAUUUAUUUACAACUCAAAAAACAUUGUUUUGUGUAACAUAUUUAUAUAUGUAUCUAAACCAUAUGAACAUAUAUUUUUUAGAAACUAAGAGAAUGAUAGGCUUUUGUUCUUAUGAACGAAAAAGAGGUAGCACUACAAACACAAUAUUCAAUCAAAAUUUCAGCAUUAUUGAAAUUGUAAGUGAAGUAAAACUUAAGAUAUUUGAGUUAACCUUUAAGAAUUUUAAAUAUUUUGGCAUUGUACUAAUACCGGGAACAUGAAGCCAGGUGUGGUGGUAUGUGCCUGUAGUCCCAGGCUGAGGCAAGAGAAUUACUUGAGCCCAGGAGUUUGAAUCCAUCCUGGGCAGCAUACUGAGACCCUGCCUUUAAAAACAAACAGAACAAAAACAAAACACCAGGGACACAUUUCUCUGUCUUUUUUGAUCAGUGUCCUAUACAUCGAAGGUGUGCAUAUAUGUUGAAUGACAUUUUAGGGACAUGGUGUUUUUAUAAAGAAUUCUGUGAGAAAAAAUUUAAUAAAGCAAC
rnacentral:lncRNA from 1 species